AAAAAAUAUUUUUGGUCUCGUUACUGAAAUUCUCUUGAUAUUUUCCUGUGCUACUUAUUUUCUAUUUUGUUAGAAUUUAUAGCUUAUAAGUUCAUCGAAUCGAGCCCUACUUCCCCGUUUUUGUGUCGACAUUCUACUGUAAAAACUUCUAGAACCAUUAUGUGUUUUGGAAAGAGCUGAUAUGAUAAAAAGUGUUAGAUGCUGAUCGACUUUGUGAUACUAACUCAUACUCGUACUAAGAGAUGCAAGCAACAAUAACAAGUCUCUUGAAGAAUGUUCCAGUCGGAGAGCUGGAAACAAUUGUGUCUGUAUAAGUUGUGGAAUAUCUUUGGCAAGCACUCAAGAAGACAAAAUCACAGGCCAUAGGCUUAUGGAAAAAAGUGAUAAGCGGUAUUAUAUAGAAAAACAAAUAUCUCCGAGACAGAUGCCUGAUGGAUGCUUGGAUUAAAGAUGGAUGGUUGUUUGCAGGAUGAGCUCACAUCAAAAGCAUUAAUAUCUAGUGAACAGUAAAGCUGUGUUAAGUCUCCCAUUGUAUUGUAUGUAGUUAGUAGGUAUUUAUGUUCAUAGAUGUUGGUUGUUAAACUACAUAUGAGCUUAAUCACUUUAUAUUAUUAUAUCAUUAAAUAAAUAAAAAAAAUAUGGGUA